rnacentral:rRNA from 1 species
CGAACGCUGGCGGCGUGCUUAACACAUGCACUUCGACCGGAAAGGCCCUGCUUGCAGGGUACUCGAGUGGCGCACGGGUGAGUAACACGUGGGUGAUCUGCCCUGCACUUCGGGAUAAGCCUGGGAAACUGGGUCUAAUACCGGAUAGGAGCCAUUUUUAGUGUGAUGGUUGGAAAGUUUUUUCGGUGUAGGAUGAGCUCGCGGCCUAUCAGCUUGUUGGUGGGGUAAUGGCCUACCAAGGCGGCGACGGGUAGCCGGCCUGAGAGGGUGGACGGCCACAUUGGGACUGAGAUACGGCCCAGACGCCUACGGGAGGCAGCAGUGGGGAAUAUUGCACAAUGGGCGCAAGCCUGAUGCAGCGACGCCGCGUGGGGGAUGACGGCCUUCGGGUUGUAAACUCCUUUCGCUAGGGACGAAGCUUUUUGUGACGGUACCUAGAUAAGAAGCACCGGCUAACUACGUG